rnacentral:lncRNA from 1 species
UGUGAUUUUCUAUUUCCCUUUCUCUUUUCAAGUCAAUUGGGUGUAACCUUUAGUUGAGAGAGUCUUGAUGUGAGAUUUAUACUUGAUACUCAUAUUACAUAGUGAAAAUCUCUUGAAACAAAGUCAAGACAACUCGACGUAGCCUUUAAUUGGUGAAAGUGAACCAUGAUACAUUAUGGUGUGAUUUUCUAUUUCCCUUUCUCUUUUCAUUUUAC